rnacentral:rRNA from 1 species
UACGAAGGGGGCUAGCGUUGCUCGGAUUGACUGGGCGUAAAGGGCGCGUAGGCGGUUCGUACAGUCAGACGUGAAAUUCCUGGGCUCAACCUGGGGGCUGCGUUUGAUACGUGCGGACUUGAGUGCGGAAGAGGGUCGUGGAAUUCCCAGUGUAGAGGUGAAAUUCGUAGAUAUUGGGAAGAACACCGGUGGCGAAGGCGGCGACCUGGGUCGAUACUGACGCUGAGGUGCGAAAGCGUGGGGAGCAAACAGG